GAUGAACGCUGGCGGCGUGCCUAAUACAUGCAAGUCGAGCGAAUGGAUUAAGAGCUUGCUCUUAUGAAGUUAGCGGCGGACGGGUGAGUAACACGUGGGUAACCUGCCCAUAAGACUGGGAUAACUCCGGGAAACCGGGGCUAAUACCGGAUAAUAUUUUGAACUGCAUGGUUCAAAAUUGAAAGGCGGCUUCGGCUGUCACUUAUGGAUGGACCCGCGUCGCAUUAGCUAGUUGGUGAGGUAACGGCUCACCAAGGCAACGAUGCGUAGCCGACCUGAGAGGGUGAACGGCCACCCUGGGACUGAGACACGGCCCAGACCCCUACGGGAGGCAGCAGUAGGGAAUCUUCCGCAAUGGACGAAAGGCUGACGGAGCAACGCCGCGUGAGUGAUGAAGGCUUUCGGGUCGUAAAACUCUGUUGUUAGGGAAGAACAAGUGCUAGUUGAAUAAGCUGGCACCUUGACGGUACCUAACCAGAAAGCCACGGCUAACUACGUGCCAGCAGCCGCCGUAA
rnacentral:rRNA from 1 species